rnacentral:tRNA from 1 species
GGGAGCGCAUAGGGUUCUGGUGUCCCUCCCGGCCUUCAAAGCCGGUGUUUCCGGCCACAAACCGGAAGGGUGGGUUCGAUUCCCACACGCUCCCGCCA